UACAGAGGUGGCAAGCGUUGUUCGGAAUUACUGGGCGUAAAGGGCUCGUAGGCGGCCAACUAAGUCAGACGUGAAAUCCCCAGGCUCAACCUGGGAACUGCGUCUGAUACUGGAUGGCUUGAAUCCGGGAGAGGGAUGCAGAAUUCCAGGUGUAGCGGUGAAAUGCGUAGAUAUCUGGGGGGAAUACCGGUGGCGAAGGCGGCAUCCUGGACCGGCAUUGACGCUGAGGAGCGAAAGCCAGGGGAGCAAAGCGGG
rnacentral:rRNA from 1 species